rnacentral:tRNA from 1 species
GUUUUUGUAGUUGAAUAACAACGGUGGUUUUU